rnacentral:lncRNA from 1 species
GGACUUGGGGUCAUUAUUUCAAAGGAGACAUUUCAGGUCUUUGUGCAACUUCUGUGCUUAAUGCUCAGUGCUGUCCUACAGAUCUUCUGUCCCAUAUUCUAUGUCACUUCACUUCUUCAACAUCUCAGGUGUGGCUCUAGGACCCCAGGUAUGUGCUAUACCCAGCAACAUUGUGGUGAAGUGAUUUAGAGGGUCAUUGGGAGAAACCCCAAAGGCUGCCAGAGUCACAGGGACGAGAGGUCAGAGUUUUUGUUCAAGAUUAUUGAUAUUUCCUUUUCUCUCUUUCCCUUAUGAAAUGAUACUGUUGUAUUUUGGAAGGACAUACUAUGUUUUAUGUCAUUGGUUCAUAGUUGGAGAACAGUUUGUCUGCAUAUAAAUUGUACAUUGAAUCUGCCUCUGAUAAAGGUAGUACUUAGAUGACACUCAGGACUUUACCUCAAGAGAUUUUACUGUAAUGUGUUAAGACUAUAGGGAUGGAAUGAGUAUAUUUGCAUGUGAGGACAUGAAUUUUGGGAACCAGGAACAGAAUGUGGUGGUUUAAAUACUUAGUUUCUUCAAAAGUCACAUAUUAAAAUCUAAUCCCUACUACAAUGGUGUUUGGAGCUAUGGCAUCAACGAAGUGUUUAGGGUGAGAGUGAGUGCCUCAUGAAUGAGCUCAAUGCCUUUAUCCAAAGACGUCCCUCCCAUCAUGGACUCAUGGCAGCGUCUAUGAACCAGGAAAUAGAGGUCCUCACCAGACACAUAAUCUCACUGCCUCAUUGUCCUUCUGAGCCUCCAGACUGGUAAUCAGUGAGCUCUGUCUAAAGGCCACACAGCCUGUGGAUUUUGCUAUGACAAUGCAAGUAUCUCUCUAGCCUUUUUCAGUAUAUGACAAUCCUUUUUCCUUCCUUGUUUUUAAAUGGACUUGGCAAUUUUGAAGAAUGCCAGACAUUUAUUAAAUAGAUCCUCCAUUCUAGUUUGAUUGAUGUUUUCUUGUGAUUAGACUGAAGCUUUAAAUUUGAGGAAAGAAUACCACAAAUGAAAUUUACCCUCACAUCAGAUAGGGGAAAUUAUACCCACAAGUAUAGUGUGAUGUCAUCUUUGCUCAGUAAGUAGGUGGGUUUCUCACUUUUUAGGUUGUGUUCCUUGAGAUCUAGCCUGUGCUUGGGGGUUUGGGAGUUGGAGUUAAGCCUUACCUUCUUUGGUGAGGGGUGUGUGCAUGUUCUGUGGAAUUUUUCAUAAGCAAAACUAGCCUUCCUACAUGUUUGUUUAUGCAAUCAUUCAUUUACUUUGUUUUAACAUGAAUUCUCAAUAAUCUUGACUAAAUACACACAGACACACCCUUUAGAACUUCUGGUUCUGCCGGGUAUGGUGGUGCAUGCCUUUAAUCCCAGCACUCGGGAGGCAGAGGCAGGCGGAUUUCUGAGUUCGAGGCCAGCCUGGUCUACAGAGUGAGUUCCAGGCAGCCAGGGCUACACAGAGAAACCCUGUCUUGAAAAUUAAACAAAAAGAACUUCUGGUUCUACCAUUAUGAUUCCUUUAUGAGAAGACUUUGUUUCAUGUUUAUCUUUGUGUCCUCUGGGCAUUUAAUAUAGCUUCUAUUAAUUGUCAAAUUAAACAAAUAAAUGAGUCUAUUAAUUUUAACUAAGAAGUACUGUUUCUUCAGUUAAAUUACAUAAAGGUAUUAGAAAUUAAAAUGAUUUUAGAAUAAAUAAUAAACAUAUGCUUGAUCCCUUUUUACUAUAUAUUUUACAAAAUGAAGAAUACUAUGGAAAUAGGUUGUUAACAUGCGAGAUCACUAUACUUACAAUUGCAUGGUUACUUAAAUAUUCCUUGCCAAAGAUAUGAGUUGUUUUGUCUUUUUUUGUUGUUGUUAGUUCACAAGAACAGAGUAAGGUUUCCUUUACUACGUCCUUUGGAAAGUUAUCAUCUGAUGCCAUCACUCAGAUAACAACAGAAAGUCCAGAAAAGACCACAUUUUCAUCUGAAAUUUUUAUUCAUGCGGAUGAUCGUGGACAGGGCAUUCUAGACCCCAUGGCCCAAAAGCCAUCCAGGUUUGCCUCAUCAUCCUCAGUGCAGCAAAUCCCAGCUUCUCAUGGCAAAGACGGUAAGAGGAUAUAACUGAAUUUUACAUCAUUAAACCAACCUAUGUGUAAUUAUCUUUAAAAUGUUAAUUGUCUUUCUCAUCAUUAAACCUAAUUUUAAUAUCAGCAUUAUGCUAUAAUAUUACUGUAUCCAGUUUUUGUUUGCAUACCUGUGAAAAGAAUAGGAUUUUCAUCUUUAUUUUAAAUAGAGUUAAUAAGAGUAUAUGAAAUUCAUGCUGCUAUGGCUGGCUGACUUUGUCCAGUGAUUUUUGUAAAAAUAUACUUAGCAUGUAAGAACUGUUGGCAUUUGGUUCAUAGUAAUAUGGCUUUAACUGUGUAUAGUAAUAGCGUAUUUCUUGCUUAUGAAAUAACCAUCUGAGCCAGGUGGUGGUGGCGCAAGCCUUUAAUCCCAGCACUUGGGAGGCAGAGGCAGGCGGAUUUCUGAGUUCGAGGACAGCCUGGUCUAUAAGUGAGUUCCAGGACAGCGAGGGCUACACAGAGAAACCCUGUCUUGAAACAAACAAACACAAACACACAAAAAAACCAGUGUGUAUGAAAUAAUUAUCUGUUAUUCAGGAAUGUUGUUUGCUGUAUGGAAAUGUGCAUACAUGUGAACCCCGACACAUGUGAAUAAGAACAUGCACAUGUACACAUAACCAUAUACAC